CUUAAUAAGGAUUGAUUCUAUCAAUAGAUAAACAAAAUUUGUUGCUCUAGUCACCAAGUCUUUGAUUUCAUUCCAUCUUGUAUUCAAAACCUUAUUUAUUCUAAAAUGAUAUGAGUUUGCACCUCUAAAAAAGGAUUAAAGACUAAUAACUUCAAUCAAAGUUUCCUCUACUAAGCAAGAAAUUCUGAUCAACACUAGUGAUGGUGAGGAUCUGGCCCAGAAGGUGCCACUCUCUCCAAUUGGUCACCAAGCAUUGACCUCUUGUGAACAUAUUCACUAUUAAUUCUCACAAUAUUUUUCAUCAUGUCACUUAAAAGUACUUCACUUCUAACCUUUUUAGUUCUCAUCAUGGUUGAGAGCUUUGGAAAAACUCUAGCCUCUGAACUCAUAAAUAAUGGAAGAAUAAUUAGGAAGAGAAACAAUGCUCUUGACACCAUUGUAGUAGCCAUAACCUUACAAAAACUCAAGUAACAAGAAUAUUCUAAAU
rnacentral:lncRNA from 1 species